CUGGCGGCAGGCCUAACACAUGCAAGUCGAACGCCCCCUUCGGGGGGAGUGGCGCACGGGUGAGUAACGCGUGGGAACCUACCCCUUGGUACGGAACAACGCAGGGAAACUUGCGCUAAUACCGUAUGAGCUCUUCGGAGGAAAGAUUUAUCGCCGAGGGAUGGGCCCGCGUCGGAUUAGGUAGUUGGUGGGGUAAUGGCCCACCAAGCCUGCGAUCCGUAGCUGGUCUGAGAGGAUGAUCAGCCACACUGGGACUGAGACACGGCCCAGACUCCUACGGGAGGCAGCAGUGGGGAAUAUUGGACAAUGGGCGCAAGCCUGAUCCAGCCAUGCCGCGUGAGUUGAUGAAGGCCUUCGGGUUUGUAAAGCUCUUU
rnacentral:rRNA from 1 species